GGGCGUAAGCGCACGCAGGCGGUCUGUCAAGUCUGAUGUGAAAUCCCCGGGCUCAACCUGGGAACUGCAUUCGAAACUGGCAGGCUAGAGUCUUGUAGAGGGGGGUAGAAUUCCACGUGUAGCGGUGAAAUGCGUAGAGAUCUGGAGGAAUACCGGUGGCGAAGGCGGCCCCCUGGACUGAGACUGACGCUCAGGUGCGAAAGCGUGGGGAGCAAACAGGAUUAGAUACCCUGGUAGUCCACGCCGUAAACGAUGUCUAUUUGGAGGUUGUGCCCUUGAGGCGUGGCUUCCGGAGCUAACGCGUUAAAUCGACCGCCUGGGGAGUACGGCCGCCAGGAUAGAACUCAAAUGAAUUGACGGGGGCCCGCACAAGCGGUGGAGCAUGGGGUUUAAUUCCAUGCAACGCGAAGAACCUUACCUGGUCUUGACAUCCACAGGACUUUCCAGAGAUGGAUUGGUGCCUUCGCGAACUGUGAGACGGGUGCUGCAUGGCUGUCGUCAGCUCGUGUUGUGAAAUGAUGGGUUAAGUCCCGCAACGAGCGCAACCCUUAUCCUUUGUUGCCAGCGGU
rnacentral:rRNA from 1 species